GCGCCCUUAGUUCAGCUGGUAGAACGUUGGUCUCCAAAACCAAAUGUCGUAGGUUCGAGUCCUACAGGGCGCG
rnacentral:tRNA from 1 species